ncrna:unclassified sequences Glutamine riboswitch
AACGUUCAACCUUUUUUGGUCGGAAGUAGGUUUGAAACCGAAGGAACGCAUC